UAAAGGUGCAGGAGCACUUGUCUCUCUUCUUACAAGGUGGUUAAAGUAACCUUGCACAGAUUCAGCUGUUUAGAACAGUGGUUGCCAUACUUUGGUCCUCUCGAUGUUUUGAUCUUUAUCUCCCAUAAUUAUUGGGAGGAGAUAUCGAAAUAUUACCCAUUGGAGAAGAUCCUACCAAGUACCUUGAUGGUCCUUCAACAAGGCUGAUGCAUUUGGGAUCUGUCUUUCCUUCCAGAUUGCUUAAUAAGCCUUAAGUUACCUUCAACUGCCAUCAGCUGUAUCCUUUUGCCUUUCAAUGACAAUGUCAAGAGCUCCAUCUGGGAGGCAUAAAAAGACCUCCAAGAGCAAGUUUGGUUGUACCUUCUUUACUCUCAAGUCUGGGGAACUGAACUGAUCUUUGUGCUUGCAGGUGACUGGCAAUACAGAAGUACAGAACCUUUUAAAAUGCUCACCCUUUCAGCAUUUCACAAAGGACUGGGGCAGCUUGAAGCCUAUGUUGGUAUGGAUGAAGGGGUGGCUUUCCAGAUGGACAACAAAAUGUACUGGGACUCUCAUAGUACUGGUUCCCCAUGGGCCAUCCAGGGUAUAGGGAAAAAGAAACAGUCAAGCAAGUUUUGGAUCAACCAACUCCCCUCAGGAAAAGUGAUGUUGAGGAACAUGAUAGGCAUGUAUCUUGCCCCAGUAGAAACAAAAAUAGAUCCCGGAAUAUUUCCUAUCCAACUUGUCCAAUAUUCAGAAAGUCCAUGCCUGACAUUUGAAGUCUUUUAUAGAGGUAACAAAGUAGCUCUCCGGACCUAUAAUGGACUCUUCUUGGGAAGAGUGUACAGAGGGGCCGACACAUUGGAAGCAAGCUUGUUCUUUCCUGAGGAGAACUGUUUUUUCCGUCCUCUGAUUGGAGACCUUAACCCCCCUGCCUUUUCAUUACUGAGUCUGAACCUAAGUGGCCUCACGGCGGCAAACACAGCUUCACAUCUUGUGGGUCAGCAGAAGUUUGUGAACACAACAGAGGAACCAAAGGAGCAUACUUUCACCAUCACUUGGAAUUUGGAAACUAUUGACAGAACUUCAUGGUCUCAUUUGUGGGGCCUUGGCAUCCAUUCUGUAUUUGAUUUCUCCGUUGGGCGGGCAAAGCCCAUAUUGGUGUACUCCAAGGACAAUGAGCACAG
rnacentral:lncRNA from 11 species